CUGCAACAUAGUUUAUCAGUAUUCUAAGAAUGUGACCAUUCUCCUUCUGCCUCUCUCUGUAUAUUAUGCUCUUCCUGUCUGUCUCUUUAUGUGUUCUCUCUGCCUGUCUCUUUUUAUUAUGCACUUUAUGUCUGUAUCUUUAUAUUAUGCUCUCCCUGUCUGUUUCACUUUAUAUUAUGGUCUCUGCCUGUCUCUCUUUAUAUCAUGCUCUCUCUGUCUGUCUCUCUUUAUGUUGUGCUCUCUUUGCCUGUCUCUCUUUAUAUCAUGCUCUUUCUGUCUGUCUCUCUUUAUGUUGUGAUCUCUUUGUCUGUCUCUCUUUAUGUUGUGCUCUCUUUGCCUGUCUCUCUUUAUAUCAUGCUCUUUCUGUCUGUCUCUCUUUAUGUUGUGCUCUUUCUGUCUGUCUCUCUUUGUUGUGCUCUCUCUGCCUGUCUCUCUUUAUGUUGUGCUCUCUCUGCCUGUCUCUCUUUAUAUCAUGCUCUCUGUCUCUCUCUUUAUAUCAUGCUCUCUCUGUCUCUCUUUAUGUUGUGCUCUCUCUGCCUGUCUCAUCCAGUUCGCUCAAUAUUCUCCCUCUGUCACUCCUCCUCCCAGUC